CCUACGGGUGGCAGCAGUGAGGAAUAUUGGUCAAUGGGCGCAAGCCUGAACCAGCCAAGCCGCGUGAGGGAAGACGGUCCUAUGGAUUGUAAACCUCUUUUGUAGGGGAGCAAAAGAAGCCACGCGUGGCGGUCCGAGAGUACCCGAAGAAUAAGCAUCGGCUAACUCCGUGCCAGCAGCCGCGGUAAUACGGAGGAUGCGAGCGUUAUCCGGAUUUAUUGGGGUUAAAGGGUGCGCAGGCGGAAGGAUAAGUUAGAGGUGAAAUCAGGAGGCCCAACCUCUGCGGUGCCUUUGAAACUGUUUGUCUAGAGUGCACGUGAGGUAGGCGGAAUGCAUGGUGUAGCGGUGAAAUGCAUAGAUAUCACGAAGAACACCGAUUGCGAAGGCAGCUUACCGGCGUUCAACUGACGCUGAGGCACGAAAGCGUGGGUAGCAAACAGGAUUAGAUACCCUAGUAGUC
rnacentral:rRNA from 1 species